UACGUAGGGGGCGAGCGUUGUCCGGAUUUACUGGGCGUAAAGGGUGAGUAGGCGGUUAUGUAUGUCAGGUGUAAAAGGCGUAGGCUUAACUUACGUUAGCACUUGAAACUGCAUAACUUGAGUGCAGGAGAGGUAAGUGGAAUUCCUAGUGUAGCGGUGAAAUGCGUAGAUAUUAGGAGGAACACCAGUGGCGAAGGCGACUUACUGGACUGUAACUGACGCUGAGUCACGAAAGCGUGGGUAGCAAACAGGAUUAGAUACCC
rnacentral:rRNA from 1 species